rnacentral:rRNA from 1 species
CCUACGGGAGGCAGCAGUGGGGAAUAUUGCACAAUGGGCGCAAGCCUGAUGCAGCGACGCCGCGUGAAGGAUGACGGCCUUCGGGUUGUAAACCUCUUUCAGUAGGGAAGAAGCGAAAGUGACGGUACCUGCAGAAGAAGCGCCGGCUAACUACGUGCCAGCAGCCGCGGUAAUACGUAGGGCGCAAGCGCUAUCCGGAAUUAUUGGGCGUAAAGAGCUCGUAGGCGGUUUGUCGCGUCUGCCGUGAAAGUCCGGGGCUCAACUCCGGAUCUGCGGUGGGUACGGGCAGACUAGAGUGAUGUAGGGGAGACUGGAAUUCCUGGUGUAGCGGUGAAAUGCGCAGAUAUCAGGAGGAACACCGAUGGCGAAGGCAGGUCUCUGGGCAUUAACUGACGCUGAGGAGCGAAAGCAUGGGGAGCGAACAGGAUUAGAUACCCUGGUAGUCCAUGCCGUAAACGUUGGGCACUAGGUGUGGGGGACAUUCCACGUUUUCCGCGCCGUAGCUAACGCAUUAAGUGCCCCGCCUGGGGAGUACGGCCGCAAGGCUAAAACUCAAAGGAAUUGACGG